rnacentral:rRNA from 1 species
GACGAACGCUGGCGGCGUGCUUAACACAUGCAAGUCGAGCGGAAAGGCCACUUCGGUGGUACUCGAGCGGCGAACGGGUGAGUAACACGUGAGUAAUCUGCCCUUCACUUUGGGAUAACCCCCGGAAACGGGAGCUAAUACCGGAUAUGACCAUUCCCGGCAUCGGGUGGUGGUGGAAACUUUUUGGGUGGGGGAUGUGCUCGCGGCCUAUCAGCUUGUUGGUGGGGUAAUGGCCCACCAAGGCUUCGACGGGUAGCCGGCCUGAGAGGGUGACCGGCCACACUGGGACUGAGACACGGCCCAGACUCCUACGGGAGGCAGCAGUGGGGAAUAUUGGACAAUGGGCGAAAGCCUGAUCCAGCAACGCCGCGUGAGGGAUGACGGCCUUCGGGUUGUAAACCUCUUUCAGCACAGACGAAGCGAAAGUGACGGUAGGCGCAGAAGAAGGACCGGCCAACUACGUGCCAGCAGCCGC